GUGCCAGCAGCCGCGGUAAUACGAAGGGGGCUAGCGUUGUUCGGAAUUACUGGGCGUAAAGCGCACGCAGGCGGAUUGAUUAGUCGGGGGUGAAAUCCCGGGGCUCAACCUCGGAAUUGCCUUCGAUACUGUCAGUCUUGAGUCCGGGAGAGGUGAGUGGAAUUCCUAGUGUAGAGGUGAAAUUCGUAGAUAUUAGGAAGAACACCAGUGGCGAAGGCGGCUCACUGGCCCGGUACUGACGCUCAUGUGCGAAAGCGUGGGGAGCAAACAGGAUUAGAUACCCUGGUAGUCCACGCCGUAAACGAUGGAUGCUAGCCGUCGGAGAGCUUGCUCUUCGGUGGCGCAGCUAACGUAUUAAGCAUCCCGCCUGGGGAGUACGGUCGCAAGAUUAAA
rnacentral:rRNA from 1 species